GGCCAUCCAGUCCAGGUUCUGGAACAGAAUCACAAGGCCUGCUGGGAGUGUAAAACACACACCCGAUUUCAGAGACGCGGUCAAGCUGCAACAUCUCACCCAUCAUUCUUACGUCGACUACAGAAUGAAAUGAUUACAUUUUUUAAAUACUGGAUCAAACAAAAUACAUUCUUAAAAAUCAUUCUACUUUUUACUUUUAAAUGCUGGCUAUUGGAAAAUCAACUUUGGGGCUCAUGUCCUCUUUCCGGCGGACAGCGCUGAACUGAAAAUUUCUGCAGAGGAAAACAGCUCACAGCCCAAGAGCCAGAGACCAAAGAGCAUUCUGGAACAAGGCAAAGGCCCGCCAAAGGACGAGCUGCGGCUACCUCACCGGGGCAAGUCAACGUGGGAUGAAGGAGUGUGUGGGGAAGCUGUCCAAAGGCUGGUUGCUUCUGCCACAACAAAGGGAAAAGACUCUCCUCCAAGUGUAGAAGACACAAUGAUGAACCGUCAGAUGAGUCUCCUGUUCCAGUGGGUUCCUGAAUGAGAGAACGCUGGAGACUUCCCAGACUGCCGUGUCCUCAUGGGACUUGCUUUGCGUUGAAUAAACACUUACUGGUUGCCGAAUCCUCAUGAUAAGCCUGAACCCUUAGUCAUUGACUCCUUAAUCGAAAGACAGUUGUUCAAGGCAAGUGAUGAGACAAUCUGUCUUAAUCCGCCAACUUGCAGAUCCCUUUGCUAUGUUAUC